UCAGAGCCAAGGGUGAGGAGCCACCCCCUUUUCCAAAGAUGACUUUCCGCUUCACCCCCGAGCCAAUCAGAACAGGAGCCGACCUCUGCGCAGGGCUGGGGCCACGUCAAGGCUGCAGAGACGGGGGUCGCCCACCCCCACCUCUGCUUUCCCUUUGCGUUGUCGUGGUUUCAGCUUCUUGCCCAACAUGGGCCCGCACACCCCAGGGUGCCCCGAUCUUCCACGGCCGACCCCUGGGCCUGGAGGGCUGGCCUGCUGUCUGCCCUUCCUGGAACCCCUGGGGGGGGCUAGGCCGACUCGGGUUCUGCUGACCUCUCAAGGCCAGAGGUCACCCCCCAGCAGGCCCACGGGGAUGGAGGGAGGAGGGUUGGUCCUUGGGCAGCCCCGUGUCCAAGGAUGGAGAGCUGGAGGGACGUGUGGGCACAGCCGGGGCUUGGGGGGUGGGGAGGCCUCGGUCCAGAGCUCUCUGGGGGCACAGACCCCUUCGCGGGCUCUUCGGAUCAAGGCCCUUGAGUGCCAGCAUCCUCAGCUGGAUGCCCCUUGGCGUCCGGUCUGGGUGACGGAGCCCUGAGUGGGAGCUCCAGCAACACCUGCUCUGGCCGAGGGCCCCCCUCCAGCCCUGGGCCCUUCGCGCUGUAACCCCCCCCCCCCCUUAGGUCUCCCUGCUUUGCCUUUAGGGCCUCUAACCCCGUGAACCCAGCCUUCGCCAGUAGUGGGGGCCUGACCUGGGCGGGGGGGCGGGGGUCCCAUCUUCCCAGCCCCUCAGGGGGAGCUCUGUCAAGCCCGUCUUCCCCCUGCCCCCACCAGAGACCCGGAGCUGGGGUGAGGGCAGGGCUUGUGCCCGCUCUCCCCGAGGCCGCGUCCCCAGGUGCGGGCCCUGACUGGGGCUCCCCCGCACCCCUGGGGCUGGGUGGGGAGAGGCCGGCCUCCAGGCCUCCGUGGGGAAGAGUCCGUUCUUCGCUGUCCCGAGUCUGGCCCAAGAGGAGCGUGAGGCCUGGGUGCAGGUGUGGGAGAGUCCACGGACGCCCCCGUUCUCUUGCCCCACCCCCAGCCUGGUGGCCCAGGAGAGGCGAGGCGUCCCCUGCCCCGUGGGCACUUUCCCUGUCCACCCUCUGAGGCAGAGAUGGGGCGAGCCAGGCCUGCCCAACUGUCCCUCCUCCCAGACUCUCCCCGAAGGUCUUGGCAGCCUUUGGGGGCAUGGCGGUGUCAGGCAGGGUGACACAGGCGCCCUCGGGUCCUCCCUCCGGGGACCCCCACACCCAGCACCCCUGGUGCCUUCUGCAGCCAGGUGCACCCCGUCCGCACCCGGCCCCCGCCGGCUCCCUCGGGCCUCUCGGGGACGUGGUGGCCCAGGGUGGGCCCCUGGUGUGGGGGGCCCGCCUCUCGGGCUGGCCACGUGUCCAGCCCUGAGGUCCCCAGGCCACCCCCUCGCGAAGGCAGAGCCUCCCCAGCCCCUGGCCGCCCGAGGCCAUUCCCGCAGCAUCUUGGGCCGUGGGGCCGCCCUCCCCGCUCCAACCCGGUCUGCGGUCAUGGUCCGCGUGGCGCUGUUGGAAAAGGAGACGGUGGGGGAAGGGCCGACUCCGCAGAGAGGUCGCCCGAUGUAACCAGCCCUCCUAGGGUGACCAAGCUGGUUCAACUGAGGUGGUUUUUGUAAUUAUUAUUAUUAUUAUUAUUGUUUGGUGGGACAAUCUUUAAUUUUCUAAAGAUAACACUAACAUCAGCUCGUUAGCCACCGUGUGCCCGGCCCGCCUCGGCCGGCUGGUGUUUCCAGCGUGCUCCCCCGAGGCGUCACCUCCCCGCCUGGACAUCAGAUGGGGCCCCCGGGGCCAAGGAGUGAAGAUGACCGUGUCCUGGGGCCCGACGGUGUCAGCACGGCUGGCCUCAGGGGACGUCCACCGGACGGCUCCCCUGUCGGCCGCCCGCCGCCCUGCCUCGGGGCGGGGAGACGGCGCGGACUCCCGUGUCCGGGUGUCCGGGGGGGCUUCAGGCUGGCAGGUCCGUGGCAAAGCGCUGGAGACCCUCCUCCGCGGGGGCCCCUGGGAGGGCCCGGCUGGAACGCGCAGCCCUUGGAAAUGGGCUGAUGUUGUCCCCAUCACGGAAAGCGGGCGCGUGCGCAGACCUGUGCGCCCCCCGCAGACACGCAGCGGCUACCAGCGUCUCCUGUUUGUUUUCCACCAAGACUCCCCCCGGCCCCCGAUUUCCUAUAAAUUUGCUUCAUGUAAGCAGGUGCAUAAGGACCCCGCCUUUGGUGAAAUCCAGGAUCGAGUGACUGUCUCGAGGCCAGGAGAUGCAUCUAUUUUCAGAUGCUUUGGAGCCAACAGCUUUAGCAGUUCCCAGCCCUUAGCAAUGCCUUAGCCGGGCCUCGCAGCUCACACUUUAGAGAGAAUGGCAAAUACAGAGAGAAGCGAUGUCUAAAGCAUCAGGAAAGGUAGAAAAAAAAUCUAUUUUUGUACAAAUGUAAUUUUAUCCCUCAUGUAUACUUGGAGGGUGCGGCGGGAGGGGGGCUUGUUUUGUUUCUGCUUCUAGAGACGGAGGCGAGAAGCUUUCUGAGCGAACGUUCGGACGUGAGGCGGAGCGGAGGAGGGGGCUCCCGGGACGGGGCGCGCAGGCUUCGGACGACCCCCGCCGCGUCGCUGUGCGCCCCCCGGGCCAGGAGAUUGGGCCUGAGACUUUCAAGGGUUUUCUUCCCCUUUCGAGUAAUUUUUAAGCCUUGCUCUGUUCUGUCCGUGUUGCCAGCUGGCCUUCCUGCGACUCUGACUGUGAAAUUACUUGCCCACAUGAUUGUUCUCGAAGACACCGUGGCCGCAGGUGCCGGGAUGGAUGGAUCUUGGGAUUGGGAUUGUGGAAAGAGAAAGGCAAAGAAAAGCCGUGAGAAGAGAAACAAACAAAACAUGAGUGUUUAAAAAU
ensembl:lncRNA